UUGGCUGUUUAGCUGGGUGAAGAUAAUUGC
rnacentral:piRNA from 1 species